rnacentral:rRNA from 1 species
AACGCGAAGAACCUUACCAAGGCUUGACAUGCAAUUGCACCACCCGUAAUGGGGUGUCCCUUCGGGGCGGUUGCACAGGUGCUGCAUGGCUGUCGUCAGCUCGUGUCGUGAGAUGUUGGGUUCAGUCCCGCAACGAGCGCAACCCCUGCCGCUAGUUAGAAUGUCUAGCGGGACCGCCGCGAUCAACGCGGAGGAAGGCGGGGAUGACGUCAAGUCAGCACGGCCCUUACGCCUUGGGCUACACACACGCUACAAUGGUCGGUACAACGGGCUGCCAACCCGCGAGGGGGAGCCAAUCCCAACAAAACCGGCCUCAGUUCAGAUUGUAGGCUGAAACCCGCCUGCAUGAAGGAGGAGUUGCUAGUAACCGUGGGUCAGCACACCACGGUGAAUACGUUCCCGGGCCUUGUACACACCGUAGAGAC